AUUGAACGCUGGCGGCAUGCUUUACACAUGCAAGUCGAACGGUAACAGGGUGCUUGCACCGCUGACGAGUGGCGAACGGGUGAGUAAUACAUCGGAAUGUACCCAGUAAUGGGGGAUAACGCUUCGAAAGGAGUGCUAAUACCGCAUACGCCCUGAGGGGGAAAGUGGGGGUCCGCAAGGCCUUACGCUUUUGGAGCAGCCGAGGGCUGAUUAGCUAGUUGGUGAGGUAAAGGCUCACCAAGGCGACGAUCAGUAGCGGGUCUUAGAGGACGAUCCGCCACACGGGAACUGAGACACGGUCCAGACUCCUACGGGAGGCAGCAGUGGGGAAUCUUGGACAAUGGGCGAAAGCCUGAUCCAGCAAUGCCGCGUGCGUGAAGAAGGCCUUCGGGUUGUAAAGCGCUUUUGUCUGGGAGCAAAUCCUGGCCUCUAAUACAGGUCGGGGAUGAGAGUACCAGAAGAAUAAGGACCGGCUAACUACGUGCCAGCCGCCGCAGUAACAC
rnacentral:rRNA from 1 species